rnacentral:rRNA from 1 species
AGCAGCCGCGGUAAUUCCAGCUCCAAUAGCGUAUAUUAAAGUUGUUGCAGUUAAAAAGCUCGUAGUUGAAUUUCGGGGUCUGUCCGUCGGUCGGGCUUUACGGUCCGUACUGGUGUGAUGGGUUCCUACCUUCUGAAUAACCGGCAUGCCAUUCAGUUGGUGCGCCGGGGAAGCAGAGCUAUUACCUUAGAAAAAAUUAGAGUGCUUAAAGCAGGCUAGUGCUUGAAUAGAUUAGCA